rnacentral:lncRNA from 1 species
UUUCUAAUGCUCAUCAUUGCUGUAAUGAUAAUAGAUACCCAUGGCAAAGAUAUUCUUCACCUUCUCCCAGGAGAUGUUAAAGAAGGAAUCCAGGAGAGUUAAUAGGAUCAAAUCUUGAAUUAACUCACCAUCCAUGAUAUUGACUUAAUCGCAUGAUUAAGUUAAUCAGGAUAUACUUGACAGUCAUACUAUCACCCCACC